rnacentral:rRNA from 1 species
AUUAAAGUUGCUGCGGUUAAAACGCUCGUAGUUGAAUUGUGGUCUUAGACAACAGUCCCCCUAUAUAGGUGUGGCACGGUUGCUCGAGAUCUUCAUUCGUGGUUGCUGUUGUUGCUCUUCAUUGAGUGUCAAUGGUGCCUCGAGAUUUUACUUUGAAAAAAUUAGAGUGCUCAAAGCAGGUUGUGAUGCCUGAAUAAUGGUGCAUGGAAUAAUAGAAUACGAUCUCGGUUCUAUUUUGUUGGUUUUCGAACCGGAGAUAAUGAUUGAAAGGAACAGACGGGGGCAUUCGUAUUGCUGCGUUAGAGGUGAAAUUCUUGGAUCGCAGCAAGAUGAACAAUUGCGAAAGCAUUUGCCAAGAAUGUUUUGGUAAACUAUGCCAACCAGCGAUUCGCCGAAGUUCAUUUAAGACUCGGCGAGCAGCUUCCGGGAAACCAAAGUGUUUCGGUUCCGGGGGAAGUAUGGUUGCAAAGCUGAAACUUAAAGGAAUUGACGGAAGGGCACCACCAGGAGUGGAGCCUGCGGCUUAAUUUGACCCAACACGGGAAAACUCACCCGGCCCGGACACUGAAAGGAUUGACAGAUUGACAGCUCUUUCUUGAUUCAGUGGGUAGUGGUGCAUGGCCGUUCUUAGUUGGUGGAGCGAUUUGUCUGGUUAAUUCCGAUAACGAACGAGACUCUGGCAUGCUAACUAGUUACGCGACCCCCGAGCGGUCGGCGUCCCCCAACUUCUUAGAGGGACAAGUGGCGUUCAGCCACCCGAGAUUGAGCAAUAACAGGUCUGUGAUGCCCUUCGAUGUCCGGGGCUGCACGCGCGCUACAAUGAAAGCGUCAACGUGAGUUACGUCCUUACCUGAAAAGGUUUGGCAAUCGAUUGAAACGUUUUCUUGAAUGGAAUAGGGAAUUGCAAUUGUUUCCCUUGAACGAGGAAUUCCCAGUAAGCGUGAGUCAUUAGCUCGCGUUGAUUACGUCCCUGCCCUUUGUACACACCGCCCGUCGCUACUACCGAUUGGAUGAUUUAGUGAGGUGUUUUGACUAGCGCCUGUAGUCGGAUGUAUAUUCGGCUUCGCGCCGGGAAAUUUCCCAAACCAAAUCAUCUAGAGGAAGUAAAAGUCGUAACAAGGUUUCCGUAGGUGAACCUGCGGAAG